rnacentral:rRNA from 1 species
UUCUUAUGUUAAGUUUGUUUGGUGCCUGAGUAGUAGUAGUUAUGUUCUUGAAACUCAAAGAAUUUGGCGGUACCUUAUUCCAGUCAGAGGAAUCUGUGUCGUUAUCGAUAGUCCACGUUGGACCUUACUUAGUUUGUGUUUAGUGUUUGUAUACCGCCGUUUUUUGUUUAUCCUUUUAGGGGUUGAAAUUUUCCGCUUCUAGUUUAUGGGCUUAUUUCAGGUCAAGGUGCAGCUUUAUUUCUAAGUGUGCAUGGGUUACAUUGUUAUAGGUAAGUUGGAUUAUUGCUCUAAUUGGUAAUAUGAAAUUGGAUUUGAUUGUAAUGUCUUGAAGACUGUUUUCAUGAUAUUGGUUCUGGGGUAUGU